rnacentral:rRNA from 1 species
GCCAGACUCCUACGGGAGGCAGCAGUGGGGAAUAUUGCACAAUGGGGGAAACCCUGAUGCAGCGACGCCGCGUGAGUGAAGAAGUAUUUCGGUAUGUAAAGCUCUCUCAGCAGGGAAGAUAAUGACGGUACCUGACUAAGAAGCCCCGGCUAACUACGUGCCAGCAGCCGCGGUAAUACGUAGGGGGCAAGCGUUAUCCGGAUUUACUGGGUGUAAAGGGUGCGCAGGUGGCAGGGCAAGUCAGAUGUGAAAGCCCGGGGCUCAACCCCGGUAUUGCAUUUGAAACUGUCCGGCUAGAGUGCAGGAGAGGUAAGCGGAAUUCCUAGUGUAGCGGUGAAAUGCGUAGAUAUUAGGAGGAACACCAGUGGCGAAGGCGGCUUACUGGACUGUAACUGACACUGAGGCACGAAAGCGUGGGGAGCAAACAGGAUUAGAUACCCGUGUAA